rnacentral:tRNA from 1 species
AGGGAUGUAACUCAGUUGGUAGAGUGCCUGCCUCACAUGCACAAGACCCUGGGUUCAAUCCUUAGCAUCACAC